AGUGAACGCUGGCGGUAGGCCUAACACAUGCAAGUCGAACGGCAGCACAGGAGAGCUUGCUCUCUGGGUGGCGAGUGGCGGACGGGUGAGGAAUACAUCGGAAUCUACCUUUUCGUGGGGGAUAACGUAGGGAAACUUACGCUAAUACCGCAUACUACCUACGGGUGAAAGUGGGGGACCGCAAGGCCUCACGCGAUGAGAUGAGCCGAUGUCCGAUUAGCUAGUUGGCGGGGUAAUGGCCCACCAAGGCGACGAUCGGUAGCUGGUCUGAGAGGAUGAUCAGCCACACUGGAACUGAGACACGGUCCAGACUCCUACGGGAGGCAGCAGUGGGGAAUAUUGGACAAUGGGCGCAAGCCUGAUCCAGCCAUACCGCGUGGGUGAAGAAGGCCUUCGGGUUGUAAAGCCCUUUUGUUGGGAAAGAAAUCCUAUCGGUUAAUAACCGGUGGGGAUGACGGUACCCAAAGAAUAAGCACCGGCUAACUUCGUGCCAGCAGCCGCAGUAAAAC
rnacentral:rRNA from 1 species